rnacentral:rRNA from 1 species
GACGUAGGGCGCGAGCGUUGUCCGGAUUUAUUGGGCGUAAAGGGCUCGUAGGCGGUUUGUCGCGUCGGGAGUGAAAUCCACUGGCUUAACUGGUGGCGUGCGGGCGAUACGGGCAGACUUGAGUACUGCAGGGGAGACUGGAAUUCCUGGUGUAGCGGUGGAAUGCGCAGAUAUCAGGAGGAACACCGGUGGCGAAGGCGGGUCUCUGGGCAGUAACUGACGCUGAGGAGCGAAAGCGUGGGGAGCGAACAGG